rnacentral:rRNA from 1 species
UACGUAGGGGGCGAGCGUUGUCCGGAUUUAUUGGGCGUAAAGAGCGUGUAGGCGGCCAGAUAAGUCCGCUGUGAAAUCUCGAGGCUCAACUUCGAGCUGUCGGUGGAAACUAUCUGGCUAGAGUCCGGAAGAGGAGAGCGGAAUUCCUGGUGUAGCGGUGAAAUGCGCAGAUAUCAGGAGGAACACCCGUGGCGAAGGCGGCUCUCUGGGACGGUACUGACGCUGAGACGCGAAAGCGUGGGGAGCGAACAGG